rnacentral:rRNA from 1 species
UGGGGAAUAUUGGGCAAUGGGCGCAAGCCUGACCCAGCAACGCCGCGUGAAGGAAGAAGGCCCUCGGGUUGUAAACUUCUUUUGUCAGGGACGAAGAAAGUGACGGUACCUGACGAAUAAGCCACGGCUAACUACGUGCCAGCAGCCGCGGUAAUACGUAGGUGGCAAGCGUUAUCCGGAUUUACUGGGUGUAAAGGGCGUGUAGGCGGGAUUGCAAGUCAGAUGUGAAAUUCCAGGGCUCAACCCUGGAACUGCAUUUGAAACUGUAGUUCUUGAGUGAUGGAGAGGCAGGCGGAAUUCCGUGUGUAGCGGUGAAAUGCGUAGAUAUACGGAGGAACACCAGUGGCGAAGGCGGCCUGCUGGACAUUAACUGACGCUGAGGCGCGAAAGCGUGGGGAGCAAACAGG